UCCGUGCCAGCAGCCGCGGUAAUACGGAGGGUCCAAGCGUUAUCCGGAAUCAUUGGGUUUAAAGGGUCCGCAGGCGGACUAGUAAGUCAGUGGUGAAAUCUCUCAGCUUAACUGGGAAACUGCCAUUGAUACUGUUAGUCUUGAAUUCGGUCGAAGUGGGCGGAAUGUGUCAUGUAGCGGUGAAAUGCAUAGAUAUGACACAGAACACCGAUAGCGAAGGCAGCUCACUAGGCCUGAAUUGACGCUCAGGGACGAAAGCGUGGGGAGCGAACAGGAUUAGAUA
rnacentral:rRNA from 12 species